rnacentral:rRNA from 1 species
UAGGGAAUAUUGCGCAAUGGACGAAAGUCUGACGCAGCAAUACCGCGUGGGUGAGGACGGUCUUCGGAUUGUAAAGCCCUGUCGAGGUGGAAAAAUGGCCAUUGAUCUAAUAGGUCAGUGGAUUGAUGGUACACCUGAAGGAAGCACCGGCUAACUUCGUGCCAGCAGCCGCGGUAAUACGAAGGGUGCGAGCGUUGUUCGGAUUUAUUGGGCGUAAAGCGCACGUAGGCGGAUUAAUAAGCCAGAUGUGAAAUCUCGGGGCUCAACCUCGAAACUGCGUCUGGAACUGUCAAUCUUGAAUAUUGGAGAGGGAAGGGGAAUUUCUCAUGUAGGGGUAAAAUCCGUAGAGAUGAGAAGGAACACCGGAGGCGAAAGCGCCUUCCUGGACAAUUAUUGACGCUAAGGUGCGAGAGCGUGGGGAGCAAACAGG